AGUGAACGCUGGCGGUAGGCCUAACACAUGCAAGUCGAACGGCAGCACAGUAAGAGCUUGCUCUUACGGGUGGCGAGUGGCGGACGGGUGAGGAAUACAUCGGAAUCUACUUUUUCGUGGGGGAUAACGUAGGGAAACUUACGCUAAUACCGCAUACGACCUACGGGUGAAAGCAGGGGAUCUUCGGACCUUGCGCGAUUGAAUGAGCCGAUGUCGGAUUAGCUAGUUGGCGGGGUAAAGGCCCACCAAGUCGACGAUCCGUAGCUGGUCUGAGAGGAUGAACAGGCACACUGGAACUGAGAAACGGCCCAGACUCCUACGGGAGGAAGCAGUGGGGAAUAUUGGACAAUGGGGGCAAGCCUGAUCCAGCCAUACCGCGUGGGUGAAGAAGGCCUUCGGGUUGUAAAGCCCUUUUGUUGGGAAAGAAAAGCAGCAGUUUAAUACCCCGCUGUUCUGACGGUACCCAAAGAAUAAGCACCGGCUAACUUCGUG
rnacentral:rRNA from 1 species